rnacentral:rRNA from 1 species
GACGGAGGGUGCAAGCGUUGCUCGGAAUCACUGGGCGUAAAGGGUGCGUAGGCGGUCUCGCAAGUCUGGCGUGAAAGCCCAAGGCUCAGCCUUGGAAGUGCGCUCGAAACGGCGAGGCUGGAGUGCCGGAGGGGAGAGUGGAAUUCCCGGUGUAGCGGUGAAAUGCGUAGAUAUGCGGAGGAACACCGAUGGCGAAGGCAAUCCCCUGGGCCUGCACUGACGCUCAUGCACGAAAGCGUGGGGAGCAAACAGG